UGCGGCAACGCACGGAGCUGACUGCUACUAAUAGGGUGAGGGCUUGACCU
rnacentral:rRNA from 1 species